rnacentral:rRNA from 1 species
AUUGAACGCUGGCGGCGUGCCUAAUACAUGCAAGUAGAACGCAGUUGCGAACGGGUGAGUAACGCGUAGGUAACUGCCUGGUAGCGGGGGAUAACUAUUGGCAACGAUAGCUAAUACCGCAUACUACCAGAUGGACCUGCGUUGUAUUAGCUAGUUGGUGGGGUAACGGCUCACCAAGGCAACGAUACAUAGCCGACCUGAGAGGGGGAGCGGCGACACUGGGACUGAGAGACGGAACAGACUGAUAAGGGAGGCAGCAGGAGGGAAUCGUCGGCAAUGGACGGAAGUCUGACCGAGCAAGGACGCGUGAGUGAAGAAGGUUUUCGGAUCGGAAAGCUCGGUUGUAAGAGAAGCGGUAUCUUACCAGAAAGGGACGGAUAACUACGUGCCAGCAGACGCGGUAAUAA